UACGUAGGGUGCGAGCGUUAAUCGGAAUUACUGGGCGUAAAGCGUGCGCAGGCGGUGAGCUGUGUCCGAUGUGAAAGCCCCGGGCUUAACCUGGGAAUGGCAUUGGAAACUGGCUCGCUGGAGUGUGGCAGAGGGGGGUGGAAUUCCGCGUGUAGCAGUGAAAUGCGUAGAGAUGCGGAGGAACACCGGUGGCGAAGGCGGCCCGCUGGGCAACUGCUGACACUGAUGCGCGACAGCGUGGGGAGCAAACAGG
rnacentral:rRNA from 1 species